UUUGGUUUCUUGACAGUUUGUUUAGCAGAGAAUGAGCAGUUCUCUGUUGGUACCGAUUCAUUCCUGAUCACCUGUUAUUUCUCAAGCUGUCAGUUUGGACUCCAAAUGCAACUCUUUGGAUUUUCACUACUGAGUAGUUUCACUUGCUACAGACUAAAGAGCAAAUAAAUUAUCCAUGGUUUUGUUUCAUUCCCUAAUCAACCACCUUCUUGUAACCCAUUCUGACCUUUGUUAGUAUAAAACAUUAAUGGGAAAACUCCCAAUGAGUAAUGUUGUGAAACUGUACUUUGUGACCAGAUGGUUCCUUGAGAUGAUGCUUCUGUAAAUCUCUCUGAGGGUGAUGUCCCUUAGGUGCUCCCCAAGAUCUCCACCCAGUCCUUCCCGCCUUCUGCUUAUGUGCUUUAAGUUUUGUUUGUCUGCAAGUUUUUGCUGUAUUCUUUUUCAGGUGGAUGAGUUCUGCACUUCAGCUCCCUGCUAGCCCAUGGGCAGCUAUGCCAGCUCUGCACAGCAAAAGGAGAGGCAUGAGAGUUGAGCUGAAUAGCAAGAGUGGAAAGCAGAGACUCUUGAAGCUCAUUUGACCACCACAGUUGCUGUAUGCAUCCUCAAGACCUGAAUUCAGUAAAGUACACAAAUAUCCCACAGCAAGAGAUAGAAACCAUAUUGUGUAAAAGCAUUGUAGUGGAAAUGCUAAGUCACAGCUGGAAGCAGUGAUGGAGCACCUGGUGGGAAGGCAGGGCCAGGCCAGGGCAGCUCAGGUGCAUGCAGUGCAAUGCACUGAGCGACCAGAUGGGUUGGGCCACGAUCCCCCCUUUCCCAGCUCUCAUUUAAGGGCUGGCAGUGGAGGCAAGGGGAUCUCCCUGGAGAUCUCUGUGUACCUGAGGCCUUCCAAAGUAGAUGCACUUGUGAAGAAUGUGCUUCUUAACAAGGAAUUCUGAGUUUCUAGUAACAGCUGUCCUCUGAAGGUUGGGGCUGAAAAGUGAGUUUUGGAGAGCCUAUGCAAUCAACAUGGUAGAUUUCGUACAUCAAGUUUACAAUUUGGGUUCUGAUGGCUGAAAAGAAAAAAAAAUACCCAGAGAGAACCGGAGCAGGGAAAGGCUCUGCUUUCUCAGACAACACAAAAAGGAACGCAGACAAGGACCAGGCAGGCUGAAUGUGAAUUGCCUAUAUACUGAGAAUGGGAGGGUGGGAGAUGAAUACACCUGCUACACGUGCUGCAGUGGUAAACAGUCUUCAGCCUGUGCCAUGUGGUAUGCACACAGUCUUGUUAGCAGUCCUUCAAGACAGAAAUCCGUGUUGUUGACUUAUGCUACUGUGUUGGACAGAGAACUGAAACGGCCAAGACAGGUGCUUGUUCUGUUUUGCAGAUAAAUAGGAAGAAAAGUAAGGGUUGUAAUGUCCAACCAACAUGGCAAUAUUUUCCAUGUUGCCCUCAGCAGAGUAUUAAUUUAUUAUAUGACAGUGAGCAUAAAUACUAAUAUUAUGUAGUACUUAACUCCUGGAAGUCUUCUGAACCUGAAUGUUUAAUUGCCUCUUAAGCUGUUUAGACAACAGACUGAUUUGCUUCAGAGCAUGGUGAACUACAGGGCCCAAACCAGCUUGUGAAGUAGAUUAUUUUCCUGAAAAUCACAAGCGCCUGGGAAUCCACAUGCUGAAUUCAUAAAGGUGUAAAACUCUCCCUGCUGAUCUGAGAUCCAGAUAGAAAAAAAGUGUCUAAAUUAUUUUUCUAAUAUGCAAGCAGUAGAUUGCUGAAAAAGACAACAAGAGCAUUCAGUGCUUCACAAUGGCUCCAGGCUUUGGAUUACUGGGAGUAAGCAUCAGCUCCGGUUUCGCGAGCAGUAAGUCAGUAUUUCUCAGUAAGCAUUCCUGAUUAAAAACCAUGUCUUUUUUUUUACUGUAUUUUUACUUUUUUGACCUUUCCUGUCUGUGACAACAUAUUUGUACUUGGUGAGUGUUCCAAGGAUGAUGGCUUUAUUUCUUUCUCUCAAUUCUUGUGUGACUAGGAGAAAUUCUUUAGGAAUGAAUAGAAGCUUUUGGGCCUAUAAAACUUGUCCUUUUUUGGUUCUGACCUUCUCACAUGAUGUCAUGCAGUUUUCUUUUCUGAAUGAUUUCAACGUGUUUGCCUCAACAAGUCUAUUUUAUUAUUAUGCUUCUCAUCUUUCUAAAAAGAAAAUUUCUCUCAUUUUAAAGAAUACUGUUGUUUCUCCACACCCCCUCUCAUUUUGGUUCUUCGUUGUAUCUGGGAGAUGCAUUGUCAAGAAUAUAUGAGGUGAUACACAUAACCUAUUCUGUUUUUAAAAAAAAAAAAAAAAGUUCUGUGUCUCCUGCUACAAUUUCUGUAUUCAUUGCUCUGGCAAUAUGAAGCUAUGGCAGAUAAUCAGCAGACCUUGGGCACAAUUUUAGUUUUAUAGUGAAAACAACAGAUUGAAAAACUCUCUCCCUAUCCAUUACAAUAUGAUUAUUGAUUAUAGUCAUGCUUUCAUACAACUGUAUUAGUGGGAAUUUAAAAAAUUGAUUUCUCAAGAGAAAUUUCUAAAAAGCAAAGUCUCGAAACUAGGGGAAUUCUGAAAGAAAUAAAACUUCAUCUGAAAGAACUUUUUUGCUAAGAAAAGUAACAGACAAUUCCUUCUUAUCUGGCUUCAGAAAUGAAAGGGAUAAACUCCACAUUGCUGAAAUUAAAUUUUGGAUUGCUAAAAUGGAAUUUAGCAAUCUGGAGUUUGGAAUGGCAAUUUGAGUUAGCAAACCUGAAUUCAAUAAGGAGAUCAUUCAUGGCACUGACU
ensembl:lncRNA